rnacentral:rRNA from 1 species
CACAGGUGAACCCACCGUAGGCCUUCGGGCCUAUGUCUUAUCAUAUAAUCUGAAUGUCUAAUAGAAUGUAAACCCAUUUCGUUGCCUUGAAAACGUAACGAAAGAAAACUAUACAACUUUCAACAACGGAUCUCUUGGCUCUCGCAUCGAUGAAGAACGCAGCGAAAUGCGAUAAGUAAUGUGAAUUGCAGAUUUUCAGUGAAUCAUCGAAUCUUUGAACGCACCUUGCGCCCCUUGGUAUUCCGAGGGGCAUGCCUGUUUGAGUGUCAUUAAAUCCUCAACCCCUCCGAUUCGUUUCGGUGGGGAUUGGACUUGGAGCGUGCUGGCGAAGGUCGGCUCCUCUUUAAAUGCAUCAGCGGAGAAAAUGCCUUUUGCGCCUCUGGCCGUUCAGCGUGAUAAUGAUGUUGCGCUGCGGUCGAGCUUAAGGUCCGCUUCCCAAAGGUCCUCGGACAAAUAUACAUAUGACUUUUGACCCUCAAAUCAAGGUAGGGACUACCCCGCUGAACUUAA